rnacentral:tRNA from 1 species
GGGUGUCUAGCUCAAUUGGUAGAGCAGCGGUCUCCAAAGCCGCCGGUUGCAGGUUCGAGUCCUGCGGCGCUCGC